GAUGAACGCUGGCGGCGUGCCUAAUACAUGCAAGUCGAGCGAACAGACGAGGAGCUUGCUCCUCUGACGUUAGCGGCGGACGGGUGAGUAACACGUGGAUAACCUACCUAUAAGACUGGGAUAACUUCGGGAAACCGGAGCUAAUACCGGAUAAUAUAUUGAACCGCAUGGUUCAAUAGUGAAAGACGGUUUUGCUGUCACUUAUAGAUGGAUCCGCGCCGCAUUAGCUAGUUGGUAAGGUAACGGCUUACCAAGGCAACGAUGCGUAGCCGACCUGAGAGGGUGAUCGGCGACACUGGAACUGAGACACGGUCCAGACUCCUACGGGAGGCAGCAGUAGGGAAUCUGCCGCAAUGGGCGAAAGCCUGACGGAGCAACGCCGCGUGAGUGAUGAAGGUCUUCGGAUCGUAAAACUCUGUUAUUAGGGAAGAACAAAUGUGUAAGUAACUAUGCACGUCUUGACGGUACCUAAUCAGAAAGCCACGGCUAACUACGUG
rnacentral:rRNA from 1 species